rnacentral:rRNA from 1 species
GACAGAGGGUGCAAACGUUGUUCGGAAUUACUGGGCGUAAAGCGCGUGUAGGCUGCUCGGAAAGUCGGAUGUGAAAGCCCUGGGCUCAACCUAGGAAGUGCAUUCGAAACUUCCGAGCUGGAGUGCUGGAGAGGAAGGCGGAAUUCUCGGUGUAGAGGUGAAAUUCGUAGAUAUCGAGAGGAACACCUGCGGCGAAGGCGGGUUGCUGGGCCGACACUGACGCUGAUGCGCGAAAGCCAGGGGAGCGAACGGG